rnacentral:rRNA from 1 species
GACGAACGCUGGCGGCGUGCCUAAUACAUGCAAGUAGAACGCUGAAGGAGGAGCUUGCUUCUCUGGAUGAGUUGCGAACGGGUGAGUAACGCGUAGGUAACCUGCCUGGUAGCGGGGGAUAACUAUUGGAAACGAUAGCUAAUACCGCAUAAGAGUAGAUGUUGCAUGACAUUUGCUUAAAAGGUGCAAUUGCAUCACUACCAGAUGGACCUGCGUUGUAUUAGCUAGUUGGUGGGGUAACGGCUCACCAAGGCGACGAUACAUAGCCGACCUGAGAGGGGGAUCGGCCACACUGGGACUGAGACACGGCCCAGACUCCUACGGGAGGCAGCAGUAGGGAAUCUUCGGCAAUGGACGGAAGUCUGACCGAGCAACGCCGCGUGAGUGAAGAAGGUUUUCGGAUCGUAAAGCUCUGUUGUAAGAGAAGAACGAGUGUGAGAGUGGAAAGUUCACACUGUGACGGUAGCCUACCAGAAAGGGACGGCUAACUACGUG